UAAAUUUCUAUAAUUCAAAUUCUGGUAUGAUUUGAUCAUUUUUCAAAUAGUUAAAAGGUACUCUCAUGUUUUCAGAUAAAAGUGUACCCUUGUUUCCAAAACGACGUGCUGCUCCUAAAAACAAUGGUCUUUUGAUCAGUUUCUACAUUUUUUCACCUUUGCUCAUUUUAAUUGCUAUUGUCAGUCUUAAAUGGAAUAAAAUGAAGAGAUUUUGGAGCAAAGUGGGAACAGUAAGCAGCAAUAACCAAGUGAUAAAAUCAAAGCCAUCAGAUGAAGAAAGGAUAUUACCAAGAAACUCACCGUUAACUUAAAACUUUCAAUUUCACAAAACAAAAUAAAUCAUAUGACUAAAAGCACACAAGCUUGUGUCUAUUGAUUCUUCUACCCUCCAUGAUCCUUUAGCAGGAAGUGA
rnacentral:lncRNA from 1 species